rnacentral:rRNA from 1 species
AGGAAUCUGCCUUGAAGAGGGGGACAACCCGAGGAAACUCGGGCUAAUACCGCAUAAUAUCGAGAGAUUAAAGCUGGGUAGUAAUACCUGGUACUUCAAGAGGAGCCUGCGUCCGAUUAGCUAGUUGGUGGGGUAAAGGCCUACCAAGGCGAUGAUCGGUAACUGGUCUGAGAGGAUGACCAGUCACACUGGGACUGAGACACGGCCCAGACUCCUACGGGAGGCAGCAGUGGGGAAUCUUGGACAAUGGGGGCAACCCUGAUCCAGCGAUGCCGCGUGUGUGAAGAAGGCCUUCGGGUUGUAAAGCACUUUAGUUGGGGAGGAAGGUUAGUAGUUUAAGAGAUGACUAAUUUGACUGUACCCAAAGAAUAAGCACCGGCUAACUCUGUGCCAGCAGCCGCGGUAAUACAGAGGGUGCGAGCGUUAAUCGGAAUUACUGGGCGUAAAGGGCGCGUAGGCAGUCAUGUAAGUUAGAUGUGAAAUCCCUGGGCUUAACCUAGGAACUGCAUCUAAUACUGUGUGACUGGAGUGCGGUAGAGGGUAGUGGAAUUUCCGGU